CUUGGCGACCAUAGCGUUUUGGACCCACCUGACUCCAUUCCGAACUCAGAAGUGAAACGAAAUUGCACCGACGAAAGUACCCAACAGCACCCGAGGGGAG
rnacentral:rRNA from 1 species